UACGGAGGAUGCGAGCGUUGUCCGGAUUUAUUGGGUUUAAAGGGUGCGUAGGCGGACGCUUAAGUCAGCGGUAAAAUUGCGGGGCUCAACCUCGUCGAGCCGUUGAAACUGGGUGUCUUGAGUGGGCGAGAAGUACGCGGAAUGCGUGGUGUAGCGGUGAAAUGCAUAGAUAUCACGCAGAACUCCGAUUGCGAAGGCAGCGUACCGGCGCCCAACUGACGCUGAAGCACGAAGGCGUGGGUAUCGAACAGG
rnacentral:rRNA from 1 species